AGUUAAGGUUCAGAAAUAUGACAGUAAAAUCAACAAUAAUCACAAGAAAGAUUUUACUUUCCAAGUAAUCUAUUUGGCACCAGAUAUAUGGAUUUCAAUUCCCGAAUUCUCAGCAAUGGUCAUGUUUGUGUGGUAACUGUGUGAUGUAAAAACCUUACAUCUGGAAUGUGUCCAUUUUUCUGGAAGACUGAAUCACAUAGUUUAGAAGGGAUCAUCUGUCAUGUUGAGAAGCCAAGCUAUUGCCAAGGAAGAUACUGGGACUGCCUUGUCUUUCAGAGAUGAAAAUUAGCUGGUGGUUUCUGAGUGUGACUACUUACAGCAACGUGACUGUUUUCCAAUGAACCAUUUAAAUUUGCAUCUAGUGGAGUGCCCAGAG